rnacentral:rRNA from 1 species
UUACUGGGCGUAAAGGGCGUGUAGGCGGUCUUUCAAGUCCGAUGCUAAAGACUGGGGCUCAACCCCAGGGGUGCGUUGGAUACUGUGAGGCUAGACGGUCGGAGGGGGUAGCGGAAUUUCCGGAGUAGCGGUGAAAUGCGCAGAUACCGGAAGGAACGCCAAUAGCGAAGGCAGCUACCUGGACGACUUGUGACGCUGAGGCGCGAAAGCGUGGGGAGCAAACCGGAUUAGAUACCCGGGUAGUCCACGCCCUAAACCAUGAGUGCUGGGUGUCCGGCUUCUGCUGGGUGCCGUAGCUAACGCGCUAAGCACUCCGCCUGGGAAGUACGCACGCAAGUGUGAAACUCAAAGGAAUUGACGGGGGCCCGCACAAGCGGUGGAGCAUGUGGUUUAAUUCGAAGCGACGCGAAGAACCUUACCAGGCCUUGACAUGCCCGGAACCCCUCUGAAAGGAGGGGGUGCCCGCAAGGGAGCCGGGACACAGGUGCUGCAUGGCCGUCGUCAGCUCGUGUCGUGAGAUGUUGGGUUAAGUCCCGCAACGAGCGCAACCCCUAUCCCUAGUUGCCAGCAGUUCGGCUGGGCACUCUAUGGAGACUGCCUGCGAAAGCAGGAGGAAGGCGGGGAUGACGUCUGGUCCGCAUGGCCCUUACGGCCUGGGCGACACACGUGCUACAAUGCCAAGGACAGAGCGCUGCUACCUCGCGAGAGGACGCCAAUCGCAAAAACCUUGGCUCAGUUCGGAUUGGAGUCUGCAACUCGACUCCAUGAAGCCGGAAUCGGUAGUAAUCGCGAAUCAG